rnacentral:rRNA from 1 species
AUUGAACGCUGGCGGCAGGCCUAACACAUGCAAGUCGAGCGGCAGCACGGGUACUUGUACCUGGUGGCGAGCGGCGGACGGGUGAGUAAUGCCUAGGAAUCUGCCUGGUAGUGGGGGAUAACGCUCGGAAACGGACGCUAAUACCGCAUACGUCCUACGGGAGAAAGCAGGGGACCUUCGGGCCUUGCGCUAUCAGAUGAGCCUAGGUCGGAUUAGCUAGUUGGUGAGGUAAUGGCUCACCAAGGCUACGAUCCGUAACUGGUCUGAGAGGAUGAUCAGUCACACUGGAACUGAGACACGGUCCAGACUCCUACGGGAGGCAGCAGUGGGGAAUAUUGGMCAAUGGGCGAAAGCCUGAUCCAGCCAUGCCGCGUGUGUGAAGAAGGUCUUCGGAUUGUAAAGCACUUUAAGUUGGGAGGAAGGGCAUUUACCUAAUACGUAAGUGUUUUGACGUUACCGACAGAAUAAGCACCGGCUAA